CCAGACUCCUACGGGAGGCAGCAGUGGGGAAUAUUGCACAAUGGGGGAAACCCUGAUGCAGCAACGCCGCGUGAGUGAAGAAGUAUUUCGGUAUGUAAAGCUCUAUCAGCAGGGAAGAAGAGAGACGGUACCUGACUAAGAAGCCCCGGCUAACUACGUGCCAGCAGCCGCGGUAAUACGUAGGGGGCGAGCGUUAUCCGGAUUUACUGGGUGUAAAGGGAGCGUAGACGGUUUUUCAAGUCUGAAGUGAAGGCCCGCGGCUCAACCGCGGAACGGCUUUGGAAACUGAGUAACUGGAGUGCUGGAGGGGCAGGCGGAAUUCCUGGUGUAGCGGUGAAAUGCGUAGAUAUCAGGAGGAACACCGGUGGCGAAGGCGGCUUACUGGACAGUAACUGACGUUGAGGCUCGAAAGCGUGGGGAGCAAACAGGAUUAGAUACCCGCGUA
rnacentral:rRNA from 1 species